GUUCAAAUUCAUGUGUGGUCUCCCUUCUUUUGCCAGGCUGCGACACUCUAUAUCUCAUCAACCCCCUACCGGCAACAGAACUACAAAGACAAUGGACGAUGAAUGUACUAUGCUCUUUCAUACCGAGGCCGAGAGUCUUUGUCUGGGGGAGGAGCCACUGACUUAGGUGGGGCGAGGCUAUUCGCUGGUGGAGAAGGGAUGAUAGCUGAGAAGAGAAUCAUCAUAUUUUUGAAUGCAUAGGAAAUGGCGGCGCAGCCAGGAGAGCAGCCCGCCAGGGAGGAGAGAGGUCGACAGAGCCGCCACUCUGCAGCCUCGUCCGUCAGAACCAGGUCCAGCCCUGCAGUCACAGCUGCUGGACCUGUGUAACAGCAGGAACAGGGAGUCUGCAGUUCCCCGGUGGAGUGGCUGAACUCCUGCUAACUGCUAACUGAAGCUACGCAGUU